rnacentral:rRNA from 1 species
GACGAACGCUGGCGGCGUGCUUAACACAUGCAAGUCGAACGGUAAGGCCCUUCGGGGUACACGAGUGGCGAACGGGUGAGUAACACGUGGGUGAUCUGCCCUGCACUUUGGGAUAAGCCUGGGAAACUGGGUCUAAUACCGAAUAUGACUACAGGCUGCAUGGUCUGUGGUGGAAAGCUUUUGCGGUGUGGGAUGGGCCCGCGGCCUAUCAGCUUGUUGGUGGGGUGAUGGCCUACCAAGGCGACGACGGGUAGCCGGCCUGAGAGGGUGACCGGCCACAAUGGGACUGAGAUACGGCCCAGACUCCUACGGGAGGCAGCAGUGGGGAAUAUUGCACAAUGGGCGCAAGCCUGAUGCAGCGACGCCGCGUGAGGGACGACGGCCUUCGGGUUGUAAACCUCUUUCAGCGCAGACGAAGCGCAAGUGACGGUAUGUGCAGAAGAAGGACCGGCCAACUACGUG